CACAUCAGGAGAAGAGAAAGGACAGCAAGGGCCGCUCCAAUGCUGAGAGAGGCCUUCAUACUCAGACUGGAACUACACUAUUGGCUUUCCAAGUCUCCGGCUUACAGACAAAGACUGUGGGACUUCUCAGCCUCCAUCAUCUGUGUUUCUCCCAGUCUGGACUGUGGCCUGCAACUUCCAUCUCUACCCGAAACGGAUACUCCUGCCUCCCAAGUCCCCAGCUGGUGUUCCACACCAACUCCUCAUCGACCAUCUACAGGUCUCCCUGGAUGUCUGGGUUACACGUCCCAGUCUGAACUCCUCACCUGCCCCCAUCUGCUCCUCCCCCAAGUGUCAAUUCUGC